UGUCCUUUCGGGGAUAAAAUUGAUAAAAUUGAAGAUUAGAAUGGCCCCUGCGCAAGGAUGACAAGCACAAAUCGAUAAUUGGUCCAAAAGGUC
rnacentral:snRNA from 1 species